rnacentral:tRNA from 1 species
GUUGUGGCUCAGUGGUAGAGCGCUUGCUUAGCGUGUGUGAGGACCUGGGUUCGAUCCUCAGCACAAUA